UACGGAGGAUCCGAGCGUUAUCCGGAUUUAUUGGGUUUAAAGGGUGCGUAGGCGGAAUUUUAAGUAGUCGUUAAAUCUCGGGGCUCAACCCCGACGGUGCGAUUAAUACUGUUAUUCUGGAGAUUAGAUGCAGAGGGCGGAAUGUGUAGUGUAGCGGUGAAAUGCAUAGAUACAAUCAAGAACACCGAUUGCGUAGGCAGCUAACUAGGCUGUAACUGACGCUGAGGCACGAAAGCGUGGGGAGCGAACAGG
rnacentral:rRNA from 1 species